rnacentral:rRNA from 1 species
UACGGAUGGUGCGAGCGUUAAUCGGAAUUACUGGGCGUAAAGCGCGCGUAGGUGGCUUAGAAAGUCUGAUGUGAAAUCCCCGGGCUCAACCUGGGAACUGCAUUGGAAACUGCUAGGCUAGAGUAUACUAGAGGGGAGUGGAAUUCUGGGUGUAGCAGUGAAAUGCGUAGAUAUCCGGAGGAACACCGAUGGCGAAGGCAGCUCCCUGGGGUAAUACUGACACUGAGGUGCGAAAGCGUGGGUAGCGAACAGG